rnacentral:rRNA from 1 species
AUUGAACGCUAGCGGGAUGCCUUACACAUGCAAGUCGCACGGAGUGGCGAACGGGUGAGUAAUGUAUCGGAACGUGCCCAGUAGCGGGGGAUAACUACGCGAAAGCGUAGCUAAUACCGCAUACUAUUGGAGCGGCCGAUAUCGGAUUAGCUAGUUGGUGGGGCAACGGCUCACCAAGGCGUCGAUCCGUAGCCGGUUUGCGAGGACGACCAGCCACAGUGGGAAUGAGACACGGCCCAGAAUCCUACGGGAGGCAGCAGUGGGGAAUUUUGGAAAAUGGGGGAAACCCUGUUCCCGCCAUACCGCGUGUGCGAUGAAGACCUUCGGGUUGUAAAGCAAUUUUGGCAAGAAAGCGGUACCUGCAGAAUAAGCACCGACUAACUACGUGCCAGCAGCCGCGGUAAUUC